AAAAAGAUAAGCUAAUUUAAGCUAAUGGGUUCAUACCCCGUUUAUAGAAGAAGUCUUCUUCUUUUUA
rnacentral:tRNA from 1 species